rnacentral:lncRNA from 1 species
UAAGAAAUAAUUCAAUAGAAAUUCCCCAUGGUUCCCAUAAGCAACACCACAUCCACCGCCACAAGUACUACUCUUCGGUCUAACCUGAAAAAGAGAGAGAGUGAGUAUUCGGAAAAAAAACUCAGUGAGAACGAUCCUACCUACCCACUUGAUCUAUACGAAGAAUUAAACAUAACCACAUAUAUAUCUACUUAACCUAAGAUUAAAAAAACAACAAUCAUAAUCUUUCACAAGUACACAGAAACCUAGCACACAAAUUCCCACUCACGAGAACGUCACAUUGUUUAAAUCGGGUGACUCGUCAGCCACAAAUCUCACAGUCCUGUCAGCCCAUGUACUAUACAUACUACCUAUGUGUAUGGUCCAGCCAUGGUCCCACUUCGUGAAACGUCCUUCGUGAAGACCAGCAAACAAUCCGUCUAUAGGUCGGGAUCAAUCAUGCACUCUUACGCGCCUAGACUAACAACAAUUAACAAUACAUACAACAAUUGUCAAAGAAUCAUUCAUGUUCGUUUUAAUUACCAAUCAAUCUUUAAUUCUAGGUUCAGCACACACAUAUAAAACUAUGUCUAGGACAACCUAUAGAUUCACAAGUCCCGCCUCACCUUUGCCAUUGGAUGAUGAAUAAUGAAUAUGGUUCACCUUUAGACAGAUUUGACAUCCAACAGAAAAACGAUCAUAACUUACAACUCAGACUGGGCAUCGGAAGAUUGAUAUGGAAAGCUGGAUUAAGGAUCUUCACGAUGGUAUGUAGAUCGCCUUCUGAAGCUUCCUAUAUCGCCGAGAAAACGCUUCGCAAGUCGGCUACUCGUGGAUCAAACCUUUGUAAAUAUGGCUCAGGAAAACGCUCAUAAAUUUUAGAAGACAAUUCUAAAUAAUGAUCCGUUUUCAGCUAUAGAUAGAUAUGAGGGUCUAGAAUCACUUUACCAAGUUUCGUGCUGAUCUGAUCUGAUUUGACCACUCGGUUAUCUCUCACGCCAGAACAUGUCGGAUCAACCUUCUAGGUUGCUGCAAUAGCUUCAUCUUUGAGGUGUUUUCAUGGUGGCUGCUCAAAUGUGACUCCAGCAGAGCUUCGCUGCAUUGAUCGCUC